CCCGCUUCACUUUUUCCGUCCUCUGCUUGCUUUCUGCUCUUCGUUACGAUCUACUUCUCUGUUUUUCUACGUUUUGGUUUUUUUUUUUCAGGAAGUUGUUAGAUCGCCUGCUGAUCGGCGUCUUGAUGCCGGCUUUUUGAGAAUCCCUGUUAUGGCGUAUCCGUCAUGCCCUCCGUGGUUUCUUUGUCCUCGACCGAUGCCGUCGGAUCAAUUUUCGGUUCAUGGGAGCAGACGCGGUGCUUCAAAUCGAGGAGUUGAGAUGGUAGAAUUGUUUUGUUUUUACAGAUCUUUUGGUGUUGGACGAGUCUUAUUGAUAGGCGAUGCAAGUUCGUACGAAUGCGGGUGAACACUUUGAUCUAUCGAUUUUCUUUGUAUAUCGAUGAUGAAGUUUGAUCAGAUGUGUUAUCGUGGGAAACGAAUCGACAAGUUGUUGCUGUCUUGCUGAUGCUGUGUAAAGGAUGUAGGAGGGGGCCUAUUGUCACCGGACCUUUGCCAUGUUAGGUGCGCUUGCAUGGCAGGUCAAAAAGAACCCUAAUAAAAUUCUUAUUGUUUUGGUUUCUUGGGGAGAUCGCACGGGGUUAUUGCCCGGGGUCUCUCCCACUGGUGUGCCUUUUGUGUUCUCUUUCUUCCUAUAGCCCUUGAUCGGCGAUUCAUAAUAGCACCGGUGGAAUUAAGAUCCACCUCGCCCAUUUGUUUGUGAUCCCUUGUGUGAUCACAGGAAAAAGACGGAAAUCAUCUUCGACUCCAAAGGUAUACGCAUGCGAUAGUCCUGAAUUUCCAUUCAAUUUGCCCUGUUUGUUUGUGAUCCCUUGCGUAGUAGAAGGACGGAAAUCAUCAUCGACUCAAACUCAAAGGUACACAUGAGAUAGUCCUGAAUUUUCAUUCAAUUCCAAUUCAUUCAUCUUUACCCACUGCAAGCAAUAAAGUACGUCUCAUCGAUAUAUUUUCAUGUUCUCUGUUGCAACUUUUCUACCUUAGUGCAGAAAAUACUAUCAAAUUUAAUUUCAUCUCUAAAAUUAAGUUCAUUUAUUUGCAAAUGUUAUUAACCUUUUAUGGUCCCACCAAUUUUCACUGCCCUUCGUCUAAAUUUGUUUUUACAUCAAUUAUUAUGAUCUUGUAUCCAGUUUAUUAGGCGCUUGUAUCCAGUUUAUUAGGCAUGCGAUGCUUGAAUACUCUUCCGAUGAAUAUGUUUAUAAUAUAUACCAUCAGCUUGAUGUUGUAUUUUUGUGUGGUCCAUGGCUGGAUUUUCUUCAGUCGAGAAGUAUGUGUACAGAAUUACGUCUUGUUGGAUUGUUAUUGAUUGUAAAUUAAGAGUCGAAUUGGCAAUUUGUUAUCAAGUUCAGAGAAAUCUCAAUCCUGAACAUGUUCAAUUAGUCGCUGCGGAGGAUGACGGUGGUCCAACUGUUUAUCUCGACGGUUGUUUCUUUUUUUUGUUGAUUUUUGGUGAUCAUGGUUUACUCAAUGAUCCAAAUUGGUCUUAAUUUUUGCAUUCAUUUUGGCGCUGAAGCUGAGAGGUUCAGUCACUUCUGCCGAUGCUGUCGGUCGCACCUUUCGGACUUCGAAUUAGAUGCUGGAGUUUCUCAAAUUUGAUGAUGGUAUAGGUAAAUGGAGGUUAUUAUGAUGCUGGCAUUUUUUUCAACACAAGUUUCUUAUUUCUAGAGUCUUUAGGUUUUUAAUCGUAUAUCUGAUGCUAGACUUUACUCAACUCAGUAUGUACAUGUUUCUUUAAUUUGGUGUUGUUAGUAACUUGGUUUUUUUAUAUUGUUCUUCAUUUGUGAAGAGUAAUGUCUCCGCAUUGUAAAGUGCAACUUUUCUGGUUAAUUUGCAGCUGUGACGCUUGUAAUUUGUAAUAGUUAUAUAUGCGACACCCUAGCUUCCUGACUUCCAACGUC